GGGCUCGUAGCUCAGCUGGCAGAGCACUGGACUUUUAAUCCAGGUGUCGCGGGUUCAAAUCCCGUCGAGCCCA
rnacentral:tRNA from 1 species